CCUACGGGGGGCAGCAGUGGGGAAUAUUGGACAAUGGGGGGAACCCUGAUCCAGCCAUGCCGCGUGUGUGAAGAAGGCCCCCGGGUUGUAAAGCACUUUCAGUGAGGAAGAACGCCUGGUGGUUAAUACCCAUCAGGAAAGACAUCACUCACAGAAGAAGCACCGGCUAACUCCGUGCCAGCAGCCGCGGUAAUACGGAGGGUGCGAGCGUUAAUCGGAAUUACUGGGCGUAAAGCGCGCGUAGGUGGCUUGAUAAGCCGGUUGUGAAAGCCCCGGGCUCAACCUGGGAACGGCAUCCGGAACUGUCAAGCUAGAGUGCAGGAGAGGAAGGUAGAAUUCCCGGUGUAGCGGUGAAAUGCGUAGAGAUCGGGAGGAAUACCAGUGGCGAAGGCGGCCUUCUGGACUGACACUGACACUGAGGUGCGAAAGCGUGGGUAGCAAACAGGAUUAGAUACCCCAGUAGUC
rnacentral:rRNA from 1 species